GCAAGUCGAGCGCUUCACUUAGGUGAGGAGCGGCGGAAGGGUUGGUAACGCGUGGGAACAUACCCUUUUCUACGGAAUAGCCUCGGGAAACUGAGAGUAAUACCGUAUACGCCCUUCGGGGGAAAGAUUUAUCGGUGAAGGAUUGGCCCGCGUUAGAUUAGAUAGUUGGUGGGGUAACGGCCUACCAAGUCUACGAUCUAUAGCUGGUUUUAGAGGAUGAUC
rnacentral:rRNA from 1 species